UAUCAGCAGUUGAACACAACAGAGGGAGUGGACAUGAUUCAGGUCUCCAGGAAUGUGUCAGGGAUGGCCUGUACUGAUUUGCUUCAAACAGAAUCAGAGAGCACAACAGGGAAAGACCCAUGCAACCCGUGAAGGAGAUGCUCCCCAAUAAUGCCAGAAUAAGGGGAUCUGCAUGGAGCAAGGCAUGGACUUUAGCCAUCAUACAUGAUGCCUGCAGCUCCAGCAGCCAUCCUGUGACCAUGAGGCAAUCUGAGUAUAGAAGCCAGCACUAGGGAUAACAGAGAAGAAAGAAUGAAGGAGGAGCCUGGAUAUCCUGAAG